rnacentral:lncRNA from 1 species
ACCACCCUGCAGGUCAGAUCAGAGGGCCUUGCGGAGAGCGAGCUGUGUGGAAAUACAGGUCAGGUGGCAGGCAGAGCACACUUCGGAAACCAGGCAAGUCCCCGCAAAGUAAAACACAGUGCUUAAGAAAACCCAUUGAAGACCACCGUUCUGAGGCACUGAGGGCCAGAGGAACACGAGUGGACAUGACUUCAAGAAGCCCCAUGUAAGUUCAGGUGUGGGCACGUUCACAGUGAUGCAUGGUUCACCCUUGCCUCAUCUAAUGUGAAACAUCCAUUUGAGUUGAGAUCUGGCUAACAACAGACAGGGAGACCAUAACCUGUGGGUAGAAUGGUGGCUUUGAGCAUGAUCAUCGUCUGAUAUUUAAAAAAAGAUAAUUCCUAGUCUCAGCAUAGAAGAUGUCAUUACAACUGUUUUAAUGUGGUCAUAAAACACAGACAAGCUUUGAAGGCUCAUAAUUCUUUCAUAGAGAUAUUGUUUAAAUAUUUAAUGCCCACAUUAAUGAUAUUGUAAUCCUUUUGGAAUAUGUGAAUUUGCACUCAUUUGCAUAAAUUUUGACUUGCUGACGGUUUUGUUAAAUCUCAUUAAAAAGAUGCCCUAGAC